rnacentral:rRNA from 1 species
CCUACGGGGGGCUGCAGUGGGGGAUAUUGCACAAUGGGGGGAACCCUGAUGCAGCGACGCCGCGUGGGUGAAGGAGCGUUUCGGCGCGUAAAGCCCUAUCGGCAGGGAAGAAGAUGACGGUACCUGACCAAGAAGCCCCGGCUAACUACGUGCCAGCAGCCGCGGUAAUACGUAGGGGGCAAGCGUUAUCCGGAUUUACUGGGUGUAAAGGGGGCGCAGACGGCAAUGCAAGCCAGGAGUGAAAGCCCGGGGCCCAACCCCGGGACUGCUCUUGGAACUGCAUGGCUGGAGUACAGGAGGGGCAGGCGGAAGUCGUAGGGUAGCGGUGAAAUGCGUAGAUAUUAGGAGGAAGACCGGUGGCGAAGGCAGCUUACUAAGCCAUAACUGACACUGAAGCACGAAAGCGUGGGGAUCAAACAGGAUUAGAUACCCGAGUAGUC